GCCCCCGUGGCCUAAUGGCUAAGGCGUGAGACUUCUACUGCAAGUUUCCCUCCAGGGGUUCUAAUCUCAAGAUUGCGGGUUCGAGUCCCGCCGGGGGUU